rnacentral:rRNA from 1 species
UACGAAGGGGCUAGCGUUGCUCGGAAUCACUGGGCGUAAAGCGCACGUAGGCGGAUUGCUAAGUCAGGGGUGAAAUCCUGGAGCUCAACUCCAGAACUGCCUUUGAUACUGGCAACCUUGAGUCCGGGAGAGGUGAGUGGAACUGCGAGUGUAGAGGUGAAAUUCGUAGAUAUUCGCAAGAACACCAGUGGCGAAGGCGGCUCACUGGCCCGGUACUGACGCUGAGGUGCGAAGCGUGGGAGCA